rnacentral:rRNA from 1 species
AUGGAGAAAAAAAAUGAAGAACUUAGUAAUUAUAAAGUAGUCAUGGCUAGAGUUCAGAAAUGUAGAAAUGAUUGGUUCAAAUAUAUAUUUGUAUUUGCAAUGAUACACUGUGGAUCACAUGAGGUAAAGGUUUUCUGUAGAAUACAAGGCAGUUUAGUGUUGGAUAAACAGCAACUGUAUUCUCAGGAGGGCCAAAGGCCAAUACAUAUACAAGUGUGUGACAAAGUGCAAGAGACCCCUUAUACAAUGGGGAUAAACCGAAAAGGGCUAUACACAUCUAACACCCCCCCCCCUCAAACUCAUGGUGGGUCGACAACACUGAGUUUGGAGAGAAGAAAACUAUGCUGCGCUCGAGUCUGUGCCUUCGUGAAGAAGUCUGCCAACUGUAACUCAGAGGGCACAUAG